AAGUACUCCUGCUUCAGACGGAGCUCCUUUCCUUCAAAGAACUGAACCGCAGGAACAAGCGCAUAAAGUUACACCGAGGUGGAAAACAUCUGAUGGUUUGCUGGCCGCGAAAAGAGCCGCUGCAUUCACACAACCGACUACGAAAGACACUUGGUUGGAGUGAAUUUAGAGGUAACCAAGUCAAAGAUGGCUGGCCCUUUUCCUUUUACUUCAGUUACACAAGACUUUACGGUGGUCUACCGUGCCAAAGUCGAACAACACACCCUGAAGGAUGCGGAUGUAACGUGCCAAAUGAGUCAGGAGACCUGAAUACUUUUGCAAAGCCCUGCACAUUGUGCAACUCUUUUGCCAAAGACGUAUAAUAUUUUUUUGCAUGGAAGCGAGACAUCCUCCUGGACUUACAGUCUUUCAAGUUGAAGUCGUUGGGCGCACGGGCCGACCACAGCCUCAUCGUAUUCACAGUGUUGUUCAUGUAGCCAGGAACGGGUGUGUCGUAAGGCAUUGCUAAAACAACCUGCAGGUGAAAACCCACACAGAUGUCACAGGUUGACCACAUCGCAAGGUCAUUUACUCUCGUUCGACCCAAAUUCAUGCAAAUCCUUUCCACUAUGAAGUUGCCACCAAGUACCUGAGUGUCAACCCACUUGGGCCCGUCUCUCGUCUCCUCCACUCGUCCGUAGAAGUGGACAGGCAGCAUGUACUCGGGGCGAGCCUUCUCCCAGGGGUUUCCGUGCCUUAGCCAAUCGUCUGCCUCCUCCACCUACAGCGCGGAAGGUGACAGAUAAGUGAAAGUCCCAGAACAAACUUGGCCUUAUCUGACCUCUUUGUACCGUACAGCCUGAAACAAGGAAGCAAGGUCAGCUCUUACAUCGGCCCGCAAUGGCAUUUUUUUGACGUAAAUAAUAGCUCUAGCUAGCAGCAGAUAUCAGGCGCACAGGUUCAUCCACCUGCGUGAGUACACAACGGGCACGCGUGCAGUUCAGAGUCCAGGGGGACAUGUUUACACUGACCGGGUUCGAUCCGCAAAGAACCCGGCGGAACGCAAAAAACAGCAGAAGCCUGCAGUUUUGCAAACUCCUAUCAGAAGACAGACAAAGGUUUGUUUUGUGGAUGACAAAACAAACCUUUGUCUGACCUUCUUAGCCACGCUAAGAAGGUCAGACUACAGUAUGUUCCUUUUGUCAAUAAUUAACUUAUGAUGUUUUCUGACCCAAUUCAUCUCAACUUUAGCCUCUGUCAAAUUUUAAAAGGGAAUCCUGCUUUCAAAAAAAAAAAAAGAUAAAGGUGGAGGAAUCAAUGUGUUUGU